AGCGAACGCUGGCGGCAUGCCUAACACAUGCAAGUCGCACGGGGGGGCUUCGGCCUCCCAGUGGCGGACGGGUGAGGAACGCGUAGGGACCUGUCGAGGGGUGGGGGAUAACCGCGGGAAACUGCGGCUAAUACCGCAUGACGCCGCGGCGUGACAGCCGGUGCCAAGGCGAAAGCCGCCCGCCGAGGGGCCUGCGUCCGAUUAGCUGGUUGGCGGGGUAGCGGCCCACCAAGGCGUCGAUCGGUAGCUGGUCUGAGAGGGUGAUCAGCCACACCGGGAAUGAGACACGGCCCGGAAUCCUGCGGGAGGCAGGAGUGGGGAAUAUUGGAAAAUGGGCGCAAGCCUGAUCCAGCAAUGCCGCGUGGGUGAAGAAGGUCUUCGGAUUGUAAAGCCCUUUCGGCGGGGACGAUGGUGACGGUACCCGCAGAAGAAGCCCCGGCUAACUUCGUG
rnacentral:rRNA from 1 species